AAACUUCUUGAAGCCCUAUGGCCUCUUCAGUUCUCUCUCCCUAGAUCCUUGAGAUGACUUCAGUAUCCCUGCAACAGUGAAAGAUUCUUGGGUUGUAAAGGCUGAAGAGAAACGCUACUGAUUUCACAAUCAGAGUCAGCCAAAUUACAAGGCCCAAAGCAAUCCCUUAUGUUCCUUGCCUCAUAGCUCCACUACUCCAGUCUCUUCCUCCAGCUUCACAUGGAUUUCUUUCCCAUCCAGAUGAAGGAAGGAGGAUGUUUCCAGAGGGCUUGAGGGAAUAGCAAGGGAGACCAUAAAGCCAAGGCAUCCUGAGAGCAAUUCCUAAGGGCUCUCACACAGGAUGCUUUAGGGAAAGUACCUUGACGUCCACAUGCAAAUUCCUGCAUCCAUGCUUUCCGGAUACCUGGUACCCGCGCUGUCUGCACUAUCUGCACGCAAAAGCAAGGAG
rnacentral:lncRNA from 1 species